UACGAGGGGGCGAGCGUUGUUCGGAAUUAUUGGGCGUAAAGGGUGCGUAGGCGGUUUGGUAAGUCUGAUGUGAAUCUAUGGGCUCAACUCAUAGUCUGCAUCGGAAACUGCCGGGCUUGAGUGUGGGAGAGGUGAGUGGAAUUCCUGGGUGAGCGGUGAAAUGCGUGAGAUAUCGGAAGGAACGCCGGUGGCGAAAGCGAGUCGCUGGGAUCUCUUCGACGCUGAUGCGCGAAAGCCAGGGG
rnacentral:rRNA from 1 species